rnacentral:lncRNA from 1 species
UAUAUAUAGGGUAAUUUAGUUAGUUUAUUUGGUUAUAUUAUUAGGCUAAUCAGGUUAGUUAGCUAGGUUAGAAGAAAAAAAGAGGAAAAGAAGAAGGACAAAAAUGAAAAAGAAAAAAGGAAAAGAAGAAAAUAAUUAGAAGAAGAACGAAAAGAAGAAGGAGAAGAAGAAGAAGAAGAAGAAGAAGAAUAAGAAGAAGAGGAGGAGGAGGAGGAGGAGAAAGAAGAAGAAGAAGAAGAAGAAGAAGAAGAAGAAGAAGAAGAAGAAGAGAAGGAGGAGA